rnacentral:rRNA from 1 species
AACGAACGCUGGCGGCAUGCCUAACACAUGCAAGUCGAACGAGACCUUCGGGUCUAGUGGCGCACGGGUGCGUAACGCGUGGGAACCUGCCCUUAGGUUCGGAAUAACUCCCCGAAAGGGGUGCUAAUACCGGAUAAUGUCUUCGGACCAAAGAUUUAUCGCCUUUGGAUGGGCCCGCGUUGGAUUAGCUAGUUGGUGGGGUAAAGGCCCCCCAAGGCGACGAUCCAUAGCUGGUCUUAGAGGAUGCUCAGCCACACUGGGACUGAGACACGGCCCAGGCUCCUGCGGGAGGCAGGAGUGGGGAAUAUUGGACAAGGGGCGAAAGCCUGAUCCAGCAAUGCCGCGUGAGUGAUGAAGGCCCUAGGGUUGUAAAGCCCUUUUACCAGGGAUGAUAAUGACAGUACCUGGAGAAUAAGCUCCGGCUAACUCCGUGCCAGCCGCCGCAGUAAAAC